UACGGGGGGAGCAAGCGUUGUUCGGAUUUACUGGGCGUAAAGGGCGCGUAGGCGGCCUGUGCAAGUCAGUUGUGAAAUCUCCGGGCUUAACUCGGAAAGGUCAACUGAUACUGCUCGGCUAGAGUGCGGAAGGGGCAACUGGAAUUCUUGGUGUAGCGGUGAAAUGCGUAGAUAUCAAGAGGAACACCUGCGGCGAAGGCGGGUUGCUGGGCCGACACUGACGCUGAGGCGCGAAAGCUAGGGGAGCGAACGGG
rnacentral:rRNA from 1 species